GACCUGACCUGGCUCUUGUCCGCUUCAUAGUGGAGGAUCAUGACUAUACCUCUAGUAAUGACUUCUUGGGGCAGUUUACACUACCUUUCACCAGUCUUCGCACAGGUUAUCGCCAUGUGCGCCUGCUGAAGCUGGACGGCUCCAGCCUCUCUCCUGCCUCUCUCUUCAUCCAUGUUAAAAUCACUCCUGCCUAAUCAUCAACUGAACCCUCAACUCAAUCAUAGGUCAAGCCAUUAGCUGAGCAUGACCUCUUCACCCUAUUGGAAGUGGGAGACUUGAUAUUUGUGCCUGGAUAUAAUUACAGGAUCAGGAUCCUGACUGUCUCUUGUGAAUAAUCCAGGUGGAUCCUGUUUAUGGGCAUUUCUGUUGGGUCAGUUGAUUUCUGUUGACACUACGUUGGAAGGUUUUAAAGAAGCACGUGUUCAAAUGAAUGCCUGUAAAGAUCACAUUCAUUGUGGUUGGUGGAUACUUGAAGGCAGAUAUAUCUCAUAUGAUUUUUGUUUACACUGUUUUAUUCUAUAAGACAUUGAUCCAGUCUAGAUGUUUUGAAAUAUGAAGUAUUUUUAUCUAAUCUCAAUAAGACUUGAAAAUUGUUUACUGUGUUAAUUUAAUAACACCAACUUUUCUGGGGUAGAUAUUUAUCUAAAACUAUAAGUUGUCUUUUUUCUAAUGGCUCUAGAUGAGUUUUAUUUGGCUAACUUGUUCGGUUGUGAAGGUUGCAGACCUCUGAUCUAAAUGAACCUAGGAUCAAUAUCAGGUUUUCUUCUUUCUAACCUUGUGUCCAAUCAUAUUUUAUUCACUCAUUCUUGAAGCUGAUUAACUUGAUUUAUUUUCUUCAGGUUUGUUUUUUGCCUAAAAUAUUUUCAUUUAGCCCUAAAGUGGUUAUGCUUUAUUUAUUUGCAGUUAAUCCUGUUUGAUUUUCCCAUGAAAUUCUUCUUGUAGAAAUGAGCAGCAUGCCACUUGGCUGUUAGCACUUUAUCCUGGCGAACUAGUAUUUUUUUCUAUCAGACAUGGAAGUUAUCACAGGCUAUUGUGCUAAUGUUAUGUGUAUUUUGUGCUUAUUCAUGUUUUAUACAUAAGAAGUACUAUGAAUAUAUCUGUUCUUUAAGUCAUGUGAUUUAAAGAAGGUGACGGAAGAAACAUCGUUUGGUCUGCUGUAAACCUGCGUGCGAAUGUUUCAACAAACUUUCUAUCUUAUGAAUCCUGUCCUUCGUUGUCAAUAUUUUUAUUUGACCAUUUCUGUGUUUGAUUACACAAAAUGAAAGACAUGCACACAUAAUGAAUGAGUUGAUCAGAUCUUUGCCCUUGUUUUUUUUUUGUCAGAUUUUUCCUUUGAGAACAAGACUUUCCAUUCAUGUUUGAGAUUGGUCACAUUCGAUAUUUCUUUAGGUUUUCUUAAGAUCCUUUAAAAUAUUUUCAUUGGCUACUUUCUCACUUGUUUUGAAGCAAAGACCUUACCAAGUUUUAGAGGAACAAUUUAUAUUUUUGAUUGUUUCAAACUUUGUAACUCUGACAGAAAUCGUCAAGAGGAAAGGCUCCUAAAGCAUCACCCGCAUGUCUUUUGGAACGUUUUAGAAAAACUGUUUUUAUCAGUAUCUAGUGUUUUACCAGUAAACUUCCAGAAAUACAUUUCCCAUUUCUGUCAGAAGUUACUCUGUUGGAAACCUGUAUUUUAGCACCAGCAAGGUUAUACCAAAAAUGAUAAUAGCUGAGUUUUAACUGGUAAUCUGAAGAAAAACAAAUUAACUUUCUGAAAACCUAAAGACUUACUGAACACUGUUUUAUACCACAUUACAAGAAAUAUUGACUUAUUGUAAGCAAAUAGGAGAACUACUUGGAUCACUGUAAACAGGAACACUGUAAUCUGUAAAAGACCAAAGUAAGAUGGAAUAAAACAAGCUGUAAUUUAUUGCUGUGCGUAAUAUUUGAUAUUAGAUCAGUUACUUCUGUUCCUCCACAGACCUUUGUCCACAAAGAUCAGUAAGUCAUCGCUGCUACAGCUUACACUUUUAAGCAGCUGUUUGUUUAUACUCUCCAGAAUGUCAGAAUUUACACAGUUAAUGUAGAUAACAACAAAUAAGCAUGAGUACAAAUAAAGCAAGAUCAUAAACCUUUGUUAAC